CGGGCUGGACCUCUCGGGGUUACAGCCUUGCUGAAUUAUUCACCCUUGUCUUUUGCGUACUUCUUGUUUCCUUGGUGGGUUCGCCCACCACUAGGACAAACAUAAACCUUUUGUAAUUGCAAUCAGCGUCAGUAACAAAUUAAUAAUUACAACUUUCAACAACGGAUCUCUUGGUUCUGGCAUCGAUGAAGAACGCAGCGAAAUGCGAUAAGUAGUGUGAAUUGCAGAAUUCAGUGAAUCAUCGAAUCUUUGAACGCACAUUGCGCCCUUUGGUAUUCCAAAGGGCAUGCCUGUUCGAGCGUCAUUUGUACCCUCAAGCUUUGCUUGGUGUUGGGCGUCUUGUCUCUAGCUUUGCUGGAGACUCGCCUUAAAGUAAUUGGCAGCCGGCCUACUGGUUUCGGAGCGCAGCACAAGUCGCACUCUCUAUCAGCAAAGGUCUAGCAUCCAUUAAGCCUUUUUUUCAACUUUUGACCUCGGAUCAGGUAGGGAUACCCGCUGAACUUAAGCAUAUCAAUAAGCGGAGGAA
rnacentral:rRNA from 1 species